GAGGUUUGCAUGUACGAUAGUCCUCGAGUUGUUUUUAAAUUUAGAGAGAGAGACAGAAAAAUAAAGAGGCCUAGGAAGAAAGGAAUAGAGGUGAUGAAUAUGUUUCUAAAAUAAAAUAGUACAAAAUAAAAUGCUACAUUUUAAUUUGAUAUGUUCAUUUUUUCCAGAGGUGAUGGAUAACAAUCAUAAAGUGUAGGAAAACAUAGGAUUUGUGGAGGCCGGUGGCAUUGUCGCUGGACUUGUCCAUUUUUUCCAACUAUGAGAAACUUAAUACAAUAUCAUAUACUAUAGCACAUUGUAUAUCUAAAUGGUAUAGUCUUUGUUUUAUUGGCUCACAAUGUUUAACACCUUCUCGACCAUUGUCAGUUUUUAAUAAUAUAGUAUUAAUAUGAUGUUUCUUGUUAUUGCUUAGUCUUAAUCAAUAAACAAAACCCAAUUGAUUCAUAAAAAUGAUACAACAAAAUAAACACAUGUCUCUUAAUGUAAAUUCACAUUUCUAUUCUACGUUCGAUAACUAAAAUAGAAAUAAACAAAUAUUACACUGCAUAAGAAGAUGAAUCAUGAGGCAGAAGAAGAAUUAGCAGAGAUGCUGGUUGAGUUACCAGAGUUGCUGAGAAGAAGAAACAACUACAUAAGAUGGAAGAGAAAAGAGACGUGAAAAGGUAAAGAGAUCGCGAGUGGCGGUGGUGGGGAAGAUAAAACAGUGGAGACGAUGACGACAAUGGUGGCGAAUAAUAAAACAAUCGACAACAACGCUGGAGAUGGUGGCAAAAUGGGGGAAGCGGCAAUGGUGACGAAGAUUGAAAUAAUCAUCAACAGCGAUGGUGGUGAUGUUACAAAUAGAAAUUAUUGAGGCGGAAAAAAGUGAAAUGAUCGGAAAUGGAGCAUAUAGAAUUUUUUUUUUUUUAUAAGAGGAGCAUAUAGAAUAAACAGAAAGAGAAGAAGAAAAUGUGUGUUGUUGUAUCAAAGAUAAAAAAAAAAAUUAAUACAUAGACC
rnacentral:lncRNA from 1 species